rnacentral:rRNA from 1 species
AUUGAACGCUGGCGGCAGGCCUAACACAUGCAAGUCGAACGUGCGUCGGACGGGUGAGUAAUGUCUGGGAAACUGCCGGCUGGAGGGGUAUAACUACUGGAAACGGUAGCUAAUACCGCAUAUCGUCAGAUGUGCCCAGAUGGCAUUAGCUAGUAGGUGGGGUAACGGCUCACUUAGUCGACUAUCCCUACCUGGUCUGAGAGGAUGACCAGCCACACUGCAACUGAGAAUCGGUCCAGAGUCCUACGGGAGGCAGAAGUGGGGAAUAUUGCACAAUGGGCGCAAGCCUGAUGCAGCCAUGCCGCGUGUAUGAAGAAGGCCUUCGGGUUGUAAGGUACUUUCAGCGGGGAGGCGUUACCCGCAGAAGAAGCACCGGCUAACUCCGUGCCAGCAGACGCGGUAAUAC